CGGAGUGGACGCAUCACUGGUGUUCGGGUUGUCAUGCCAAUGGCACUGCCCGGUAGCUAAAUGCGGAAGAGAUAAGUGCUGAAAGCAUCUAAGCACGAAACUUGCCCCGAGAUGAGUUCUCCCUGACUCCUUGAGAGUCCUGAAGGAACGUUGAAGACGACGACGUUGAUAGGCCGGGUGUGUAAGCGCAGCGAUGCGUUGAGCUAACCGGUACUAAUGAACCGUGAGACUUAACCUU
rnacentral:rRNA from 1 species